CCUGUUGGCAAGAGUAAUCCUGCGUUGGAUUUCCAGGCUGAAUAUUUUCCAGACAUUCGUGGGAAAUUAUUGUGGAAUGCUUGGGAUCGACAUUGCUUGUGCCCGUUGUAACUCGGUAGAAUUCACUGUUCGACGCAGUAACGAAGUUACUUUGGGCCAAGGACAAGUUGAAUCCUUUGUGCGAAAGACUCAGCUUGUCACAAUUUUCUCCGAGCGAUUUGCAGGAUCUGGAGAUGUACCAGUUGUUAAUGGGGCCUAUUGCUCGUGCCUUGGACUACCUUCAAGGAGAAAAUAACGUGCAUUACGGCUGCUUAAUUCCGACUCUGAUGACCCUCAGCAAUAGAUUAAAUAAGCUGCAAAACAAGCCAGAAAUGCAGCAAGUUUCCUCUGUGGUUGCUAAAUUGGAGCAGCGUUUGAGAGAUCGAUUUGACGCAUUUUUUACUUUAAAACCGGAGGCCAAUAUAGCACUAGCGGCAACUGUACUAACUCCAGAUAUUAAAAUGAGCUGGAUCAAGGUGUUGUAAAGGAUAAAACCGGAGGUGACAGCAGCGGACAUAAGUAUCUGGGUUUUAAACACAAUUUGCGAUUUCUAUGCAAAAGAUAAUCGUGCUUUCAAUGCACAAAUAUUGAAAAGUAAUGAAUUAUUUGCAAAUAAUAGGCAUUUUGAUUUUGACCUCAACGACACAGAUAACGAAGAAGGAACAAAUGCUACUCCUGAGCCAAGUGCUAGUGAUCGUCGGGCUUUUUUGACCCAUCACUUUUUCUGUUACUUAAAUGACAAUUCAAGAACAGACGACACUUGGGUACAACAUUGCAGUCUAAAAGAAGCUUUGGUUGCCUUUAAUACUCCCCUGACAUCCUCAGCACCAGUA